CUCCUGCUGAUCUCUGACUCCAUCUCUGGUUCUUCAAGGCAGUCUCCAAUUUUCCUGGUGCAACCCCUCCUCACCAUGGCAUCAAUCUCACUGUUUUCCAGUGAAUUAAGGCCUGGAACUGAAACCCCACUGCAAAUCGUGAAAUGGGUGUGAAGGAAAAGGAGUCCUAGAAGGUAGAGUGUGGGUUUGGACAUUUUCUUGGAGUGGCUUGAUUGGUUCUUGUCUUCUGUUUUUGAGUUCUUGUGGACUC
rnacentral:misc_RNA from 1 species